UACGGAGGGUGCAAGCUUUAUCCGGAUUCACUGGGUUUAAAGGGUGCGUAGGCGGGCAGGUAAGUCCGUGGUGAAAUCUCUGAGCUUAACUCAGAAACUGCCAUGGAUACUAUUUGUCUUGAAUAUUGUGGAGGUAAGCGGAAUAUGUCAUGUAGCGGUGAAAUGCUUAGAUAUGACAUAGAACACCAAUUGCGAAGGCAGCUUACUACACAGUUAUUGACGCUGAGGCACGAAAGCGUGGGGAUCAAACAGG
rnacentral:rRNA from 1 species